rnacentral:rRNA from 1 species
CAGUAGCCGCGGGAAUACGAAGGGUGCAAGCGUUACUCGGAAUUACUGGGCGUAAAGCGUGCGCAGGCGGUUAUAUAAGACAGAUGUGAAAUCCCCGGGCUCAACCUGGGACCUGCAUUUGUGACUGUAUAGCUAGAGUACGGUAGAGGGGGAUGGAAUUCCGCGUGUAGCAGUGAAAUGCGUAGAUAUGCGGAGGAACACCGAUGGCGAAGGCAAUCCCCUGGACCUGUACUGACGCUCAUGCACGAAAGCGUGGGGAGCAAACAGGAUUAGAUACCCCUGUAGUCCCUGUCUCUUAUAC